AAGAGGAGUGACGAACCGUUUUUAACAUUGCAGGAAUUCUUCAAACGUGUAUAAAAAUUGGGUUUUAAUUGUAAUUAAGUCUGUGUUUAUUUGUUUGAAGAAGAAGGAAGAAGCAGUUUAUUGACUUGAAAAUUUUUACCAUUUAUUUCUUUGCUGCAAACAUGAUUCAGACUGAUGUUACCGUUUUCUUCACUUUAAUCACCUCUGUGCUUUCUGCGACAAUAAGGACAGAGAUAUGUCACUAUUUACGAGGAUCGUGCGACACAACGUGCGAGUUUGAAUACAUACACAAAUGGGGCAUACCACUCUGUUCUGGUGUAGGAAUGAAAUGCUGCGCACCGGAUGAUGUUGUGCAAAUGAUGAAGAACCGCAAAACCACCACUACAACCACCACAACUACCACCACCACCACCCCCGCACCGGCGCCACCAAUGUAUGAUGUGCUGGUGCUGGACCAGCCCCAGUACAUGUCCAACAAGAUACCCAGCAGAAAUGAUUGCGGCAAACCUUACUUCUCCCAUCGAGCCAAGAGAAUUGUGGGAGGGACAACGGCUCCCAGGGGGGCAUGGCCUUGGCAAGUGUCCUUCCGCUAUAUGAGUGGGCUCUAUGGUUGUGGAGGCGCCCUCAUCAGUGACCGCUGGGUUCUAACCGCUGCCCAUUGCUUCAAAGGAGAAUACAACAGUAUCCAUAAAUGGCGCGUGACUGUUGGAAUGCACGACACCAAGGCAAAUGAACCUUCCAAACUGGACAUCCCCAUCAGAGCCAUAAUCAAACAUCCCCUAUACAUAGCUUAUAACGAGGAGGAAGAACAGAGGAACAACCAGAGCACACCCCUCCACAAACGCUACGCCCACGAUAUCGCCCUGGUGGAGCUAGACAGGAGCGUGGACAUCCAAUCCCCGUACACACGCGCAAUAUGUCUGCCACCAGUGGGCGACGCCAUCUUUGGAAACGACUUCGACAAGAGAGAGCCAGGAUCUCCACUCAUGCAUGACAACACCGUGGAUCUGUUUGACGUGGAGAGAAAGGGGCAGUGCUGGGUGACCGGAUGGGGCUACACUGCAGAUCAAGAGGAAACUGAUCGCUCACGCUUGCGCCAAGUUCGCGGUGACGUCAUCAGUAGCACCCAGUGCAAAGAGUUCUGGCAGUCCGAGCUGGAAGAAGACACGUUGUGCUUUGGGGAUGGAACUCAUGGCCCUUGCAAGAAAACUUUUUUUGUUACAGGGCGAUUCAGGUGGGCCCAUGUCUUGCAGUUAUGACGGCAAAUAUUACAUCACAGGUGUCGUUUCAUGGGGAUCGGAAGACUGCAAACAGAAGGGAUACCCGAGUGUAUUCACUCGCGUGACGUCAUACCUCAAUUGGAUCAACAAGCACGUCUCGCGUGGUUAACGCUACAACUUGCUGACGUAAACAAAAUUGAACCCAAGUUUGAAGAAUUCCAGGACGACUCAGGGAACACUGUAUUUUUUUGUCCAACCAAACAAACCCAAUCUAUUUAUUGUUAAAAAAGAACUGUGAUACUCCUAGUCGUUGAUUCUCUUAGCGUCAAUGUUUUGAACAGAAAUCCAAGACAUUGUUACUAAAAAUAGUAACAAUUUCAAAUGACAAAUGGCGAGUUUUCGAAUGUCACUGUAUGCUCUAUCUGAGUCUUGUUAUGAUUUUUUUUCCUGUUUGUGUGUCUUUCUUUGACAAAACUUCUCGAAUUAUAUCAAAAAGAUGAAGUAGCUCUCUUUAAGCAUGUUUAAGGUUUAUAUUAUAUUUUUGUAUAUAUAUGUUACCUGUGUUGAAAUUAACUUAAAAUUCCACUCUUGAUUCUAUAUAUACUGACAGAAUGUGAUGGUUAGAAGUGUUGUUUACAAAUAAACCUGUGUCGGUGAGGGU
rnacentral:misc_RNA from 1 species